rnacentral:rRNA from 1 species
AGCAGUCGCCGCGGUAAUACGAAGGGGGCUAGCGUUGCUCGGAAUGACUGGGCGUAAAGGGCGCGUAGGCGGAUUGUUUAGUUAGGCGUGAAAUUCCUGGGCUUAACCUGGGGACUGCGCUUAAUACAGGCAGUCUAGAGUGAGGAAGAGGGUUGUGGAAUUCCCAGUGUAGAGGUGAAAUUCGUAGAUAUUGGGAAGAACACCGGUGGCGAAGGCGGCAACCUGGUCCUUGACUGACGCUGAGGCGCGAAAGCGUGGGGAGCAAACAGGAUUAGAUACCCGUGUAGUCCCUGUCUCUUAUAC